rnacentral:rRNA from 1 species
UACGUAGGGCGCGAGCGUUGUCCGGAAUUAUUGGGCGUAAAGAGCUCGUAGGCGGCCUGUCGCGUCAAUUGUGAAAGCCCGGGGCUUAACCCUGGGUCUGCAGUCGAUACGGGCAGGCUAGAGUGUGGUAGGGGAGAUCGGAAUUCCUGGUGUAGCGGUGAAAUGCGCAGAUAUCAGGAGGAACACCGGUGGCGAAGGCGGAUCUCUGGGCCAUUACUGACGCUGAGGAGCGAAAGCGUGGGGAGCGAACAGG